rnacentral:tRNA from 1 species
GGGCAGUUAGCUCAGGUGGUAGAGCACCUGCCUUACAAGCAGGGGGCCACUGGUUCGAAUCCGGUACUGCCCACC